AAUAGUUUAGUGGUAGAAUAACUGCCUUCCAAGCAGUUGGCCGGGAUUCGAUUUCCCGUU
rnacentral:tRNA from 1 species